GGAGGUAUCAGAAGUGCGAAUGCUGACAUGAGUAACGAUAAGGGGGGUGAAAAACCUCCCCGCCGGAAGAUCAAGGUUUCCUGUCCAACGCUAAUCGGGACAGGGUGAGUCGGCCCCUAAGGCGAGGCAGAGAUGCGUAGUCGAUGGGAAGCAGGUUAAUAUUCCUGCACUUCUUUAUAUUGCGAUGGGGGGACGGAGAAGGCUAGGCCAGCGCGGCGAUGGUUGUCCGCGUUUAAGGUUGUAGGCUGGUGACUUAGGUAAAUCCGGGUUGCUAAGGCCGAGAACUGAUGACGAGCUUCGAGCGAAAGCGACAAGUGAAGUGGUCGAUGCCAUGCUUCCAGGAAAAGCCUCUAAGCUUCAGAUAUAAAGGAACCGUACUGUAAACCGACACAGGUGAACAAAUUUAGUAAAUUAAGGUGCUUGAGUUAAUUGUAUUGAAGGAACUCGGCAAAAUGACUCCGUAACUUCGGAAUAAGGAGUAGCUUUUUAAGGUUUUAACCUAAAAAAGCUGUCACAAAAUCGAGGACAGCGACUGUUUAAUAAAAA
rnacentral:rRNA from 1 species